GACGAACGCUGGCGGCGUGUUGAACACAUGCAAGUCGAACGAAGUGGCGAACGGGUGAGUAACACGCGAGCAACCUGCCCUCUUCUUUGGGAUAACGGUUGGAAACGGCUGUUACAACUGGAUAGUGGGGGAUGGGCUCGCGGCCUAUCAGCUUGUUGGUGGGGUGAUGGCCUACCCAGGCUUUGACGGGUAACCGGCCGGCGGGGGUGACGGGUCGCAUUGGGGGUGAGUUACGGCCCAGACUCCUACAGUAGGCAGCAGUGGGGGAGUUUGCACAGUGGGCGCAAGCCUGAUGCAGCGACGCCGCGUGAGGGAUAAAGGCCUUCGGGUUGUAAACCUUUUUCGCUCAUGGUCGGGUAGUGGGUAGAGGAGCGCCUGCUAACUACGUGCCAACAGCCGCGGUAAUAC
rnacentral:rRNA from 1 species